UUGGAGGGCAAGUCUGGUGCCAGCAGCCGCGGUAAUUCCAGCUCCAAUAGCGUAUAUUAAAGUUGUUGCAGUUAAAAAGCUCGUAGUUGAAUUUCGGGAUCAGAUUGUCGGUCGUGCCUCGGUACGCACUGGUAUUAUUGGUUCCUACCUUCUGAAGAACCGCGAUGUCAUUAAUUUGGUGUCGUGGGGAAUCAGGACUGUUACUUUGAAAAAAUUAGAGUGUUUAAAGCAGGCUUACGCUUGAAUACAUUAGCAUGGAAUAAUGAAAUAGGACGUUUGAUUCUAUUUUGUUGGUUUCUAGGAUUGACGUAAUGAUUAAUAGGGAUAGUUGGGGGCAUUAGUAUUCAAUUGUCAGAGGUGAAAUUCUUGGAUUUAUUGAAGACUAACUACUGCGAAAGCAUUUGCCAAGGAUGUUUUCAUUAAUCAAGAACGAAAGUUAGGGGAUCGAAGACGAUCAGAUACCGUCGUAGUCUUAACCAUAAACUAUGCCGACUAGGGAUCGGAUGAUGUUAAUUUUUUAAUGACACAUUCGGCGCCUUACGGGAAACCAAAGUGUUUGGGUUC
rnacentral:rRNA from 1 species